rnacentral:rRNA from 1 species
UUUUAUAGAUGGGUGUUGCGUGCGUGCUAGAGAGUGGGGGGCGUAGGAGGGCGUGCCCGGCAAGAAGGUGCGGGCGUGCUGGAGAGCGGUAGAGGAGGAGGGCGUGCCCGGUAAGCGGCGGGGCGGCAAGGAGGGCGCCAGCAGUCGGCGUCGGUCUCGGUGUGGAGGGGCGGCGAGUCGAACCGCCUCGGCGGCCUCGGUGGGGGAAGCGGCGGUAGGUCAUCGACCGUUGGCCGCGCGAGGGUGCAGCGGCAACCACCCGGCGGCGUUCUGGCAGCAGCCGGCGCAGGCAUGGGAGUAGGUAGACGUAUCGGGGCCGAAGCAGAGGAGGUGCGGCUCCGACAUGCGCGGGAACUAAACCUGCCGUCAUGGUGGCCCCGCGUAGUGGAAGAACGCGGAGGGUGUAGCCGGAGGUAGAGGUACCAGCGUUCCCGAACGGCCGUUGUGGACUAGAAACUAGACCAAACAUACGUACGCACACACACUAAUCAAAGUCGCCAGUGUCCAGCAACAUCAUUCUACUACGUAGUGCGUAACUUACCUUGGUAUUCCGAUCCUCGCGCACGUGUGUGACCGCAGCCGCCGUGCCACAGUUCGACGCCUCUUCCGUAGGCCGCUCCGCCGGUGGUCCACCUAUUCACCUACCGUGUACACAUAUAACGACAACUCCCUAAUAUAAGCUGUAAAAUAAAAAUAGGGUUGUGAUCUAACUUCACCACUAAAUGUUUCCUAAAAAUCACCCCGUGUUCACAUCUAACUAUUUUUUCGUACGACUUAUCACUUCAUCAUGGUACGAUCUUAAUGAACCGAUGUAAAAAAAAACAAAGAAACUACGUUACAUUAGAAACAACAAGGACAAUAAUCACUUAAAAGAUCUUGUAGCCCAUUCGUGAUACGAUUUUUUUCGAUAAGAUCUUUUCCUACUCUUCUCGAUAAGGUCUUUUCCUACUCUUCUCGGAGUUCCAUGUAAGAAAAAUAAGAAGGUCACACAGAAUGUAUAAAAGAUCGAACGUUACGAAAUAUUCUAUAAAGUAUACCUCCAGUUGCAACUUUUUUUUCCUCAUCAGUUGAACACCUCUUGUUACAAUUAGUUCGAGAGUACUAUAAGGGAGACGAAGUUCUACAAAAGAGUUGAUAAACAAUUGUACGAAGACUUGAAACUAAAAGAAAUGAUUUGAUCUGGUAACACGUCCACAACCAAGUACUACCCAGCAGGAAUUUUUAGAACUGUUAAUGGGAACUGUGUUGUGUACCCUACACGAGUUAGGCUGAAUAAAAACAGAUAAUAAAAUAUAUACAAAAAGUGGAGUCUCUAAAAUAAUUUAAAGUCAACCCAAUAUUGUUCUCUACGUUUAUUUCUUGAAAUAAUACCCAAAAGUAUUUUGUUUAUACAUGAAGGUUUAUGGAACUUCCAAUAACUAAUAUACGUCGUUCCGGUAAACUAAUUCAACCGAGAAAAAACUGUGGUUAAAUAUACGUUCGAUAAACUUAUAUAUAAACGCUUUCUUUCAUGUCUUCACACAAACCCACUCCGGUUCUAAUUUGUAGAGUGUAAAACAAAGUCUUUAGUAGAGAUGAAUUCAGGUUCUCCAGUAGUCCACUACUCUACCUACUUGAGGGUCAAACGUAAAUAACCCUCGAUACUUUGACCAUUUUACUAAUACCAAGGGCGUUGAGGAUUCGGAUAAUGUAACCUUGAACCACUUCUUCUGGAUAAGGAUAAACUCAUACAACUGUAACUGUUUUCCGUCGUUUCCCUUGUUCAUAACUUCCCCCGUAUUUCUUGAUACCCUCUAUAAGGUUAGGAAGUUACUCCGCCCCAGCUGGCUAAAACUGUACCCUCCUCAGGCAAUUCUCUCUGGACUUCCUAACCUUAUAGCUGUUUCUCGAUCGACACCUGUCCCCACGCACCUUCGAACGAUAGGUACACGGUCUCGGUACUCAACCAACGCUCUAGAAUACCCAAAGUGGAGAUCGGAUGGGGUUGAACGAACCCUGAUUUCCGAAACAACAACAACAACAACAUACAGAAACAAACAUGACAAAAAUAUGUUCCUGUUGUUACUUGCUGUAUACAUGAAAAGUAGGAUAAACAAAGAUCGUACAUUUACAUUCAUAAAGAAGUAUGUGCACUCUUUCUUUUAUAAUCAAGAAUGUACAAACUCCUAUACAUAUUGGUAUUAUACAUUACGUUAACACCACUCCAUCUUGCUCCUCCUCUCCACACACUACGAUCCGUAUAAUCGUUAAAAAAAUCAAAUCAACUAAUGUAAGUACUCACAAGAAGGCAACGUUGUAUGCCCGGAAAAAGUGACGUAUGUGUCUAUAUGAUGAUAGAAUAUCUUAUACAACUAGUUCCUACUUCUCCAC